GACGAACGCUGGCGGCGUGCUUAACACAUGCAAGUCGAACGAUGAAGCCCUAGCUUGCUGGGGUGGAAGAGUGGCGAACGGGUGAGUAACACGUGAGUAACCUGCCCUUGACUCUGGGAUAAGCACUGGAAACGGUGUCUAAUACUGGAUAUGACCUGUCACCGCAUGGUGGUGGGUGGAAAGAUUUAUCGGUUUUGGAUGGACUCGCGGCCUAUCAGCUAGAUGGUGAGGUAAUGGCUCACCAUGGCGACGACGGGUAGCCGGCCUGAGAGGGUGACCGGCCACACUGGGACUGAGACACGGCCCAGACUCCUACGGGAGGCAGCAGUGGGGAAUAUUGCACAAUGGGCGCAAGCCUGAUGCAGCAACGCCGCGUGAGGGAUGACGGCCUUCGGGUUGUAAACCUCUUUUAGUAGGGAAGAAGCGAAAGUGACGGUACCUGCAGAAAAAGCGCCGGCUAACUACGUGCCAGCAGCCGCGGUAAUACGUAGGGUGCAAGCGUUGUCCGGAAUUAUUGGGCGUAAAGAGCUCGUAGGCGGCUUGUCGCGUCUGCUGUGAAAUCCCGGGGCUCAACCCCGGGCCUGCAGUGGGUACGGGCAGGCUAGAGUGCGGUAGGGGAGAUUGGAAUUCCUGGUGUAGCGGUGGAAUGCGCAGAUAUCAGGAGGAACACCGAUGGCGAAGGCAGAUCUCUGGGCCGCUACUGACGCUGAGGAGCGAAAGCAUGGGGGAGCGAACAGGAUUAGAUACCCUGGUAGUCCAUGCCGUAAACGUUGGGAACUAGAUGUAGGGCCUGUUCCACGGGUUCUGUGUCGUAGCUAACGCAUUAAGUUCCCCGCCUGGGGAGUACGGCCGCAAGGCUAAAACUCAAAGGAAUUGACGGGGGCCCGCACAAGCGGCGGAGCAUGCGGAUUAAUUCGAUGCAACGCGAAGAACCUUACCAAGGCUUGACAUAUACGAGAACGCGCCAGAAAUGGUGAACUCUUUGGACACUCGUAUACAGGUGGUGCAUGGUUGUCGUCAGCUCGUGUCGUGAGAUGUUCGGUUAAGUCCGGCAACGAGCGCAACCCUCGUCCUAUGUUGCCAGCACGUUAUGGUGGGAACUCAUGGGAUACUGCCGUGGUCAACACGGAGGAAGGUGGGGAUGACGUCAAAUCAUCAUGCCCCUUAUGUCUUGGGCUUCACGCAUGCUACAAUGGCCGAUACAAAGGGCUGCGAUACCGCGAGGUGGAGCGAAUCCCAAAAAGUCGGUCUCAGUUCGGAUUGGGGUCUGCAACUCGACCCCAUGAAGUCGGAGUCGCUAGUAAUCGCAGAUCAGCAACGCUGCGGUGAAUACGUUCCCGGGCCUUGUACACACCGCC
rnacentral:rRNA from 1 species